CGUAGGUAACGUUCCCUUUACUGGGGGAUAACACCGGGAAACCGGUGCUAAUACCGCAUAAGCCGUGAGGUGAAAUUCCUUACGGUUAAAGAAUUUCGGUAAAGGAUCGGCCUGCGUCUGAUUAGCUUGUUGGUAGGGUAAAGGCCUACCAAGGCGAUGAUCAGUAGUUGGUCUGAGAGGAUGACCAGCCAGAGUGGGACUGAGACACGGCCCACACUUCUACGGAAGGCAGCAGUAGGGAAUUUUGCGCAAUGGGCGAAAGCCUGACGCAGCAACACCGCGUGUAGGAUGACGGUUUUCGGAUCGUAAACUACUGUCAGCAGGGAAUAAUUUUGACUGUACCUGCAGAGGAAGCAUCGGCUAACUACGUGCCAGCAGCCGCGGUAAGACGUAGGAUGCAAGCGUUGUCCGGAAUUAUUGGGCGUAAAGAGUUCGUAGGCGGUUACUUAAGUCUGGUGUUAAAGACCGAAGCUCAACUUCGGCAUGGCAUUGGAAACUGGGUGGCUAGAGUGCGGUAGAGGUCUCGGGAAUUCCAGGUGUAGCGGUGAAAUGCGUAGAUAUCUGGAGGAACACCGGUGGCGAAAGCGCGAGGCUGGGCCGUAACUGACGCUGAGGAACGAAAGCCAGGGGAGCGAAAGGGAUUAGAUACCCCUGUAGUCCUGGCCGUAAACGAUGGAUACUAGGUGUAGGUGGAUUCGACCCCAUCUGUGCCGUAGCUAACGCGAUAAGUAUCCCGCCUGGGGAGUACGACCGCAAGGUUGAAACUCAAAGGAGUCGACGGGGGCCCGCACAAGCGGUGGACCAUGUGGUUUAAUUCGAUGCAACGCGAAGAACCUUACCUGGGCUUGACAUCUA
rnacentral:rRNA from 1 species